rnacentral:rRNA from 1 species
CCUACGGGGUGCAGCAGUGGGGAAUAUUGGACAAUGGGCGAAAGCCUGAUCCAGCCAUGCCGCGUGUGUGAAGAAGGCCUUCGGGUUGUAAAGCACUUUCAGUGGGGAAGAAAGCCUUGGGGCUAAUACCCUCGAGGAAGGACAUCACCCACAGAAGAAGCACCGGCUAACUCCGUGCCAGCAGCCGCGGUAAUACGGAGGGUGCGAGCGUUAAUCGGAAUUACUGGGCGUAAAGCGCGCGUAGGCGGUCUGAUAAGCCGGUUGUGAAAGCCCCGGGCUCAACCUGGGAACGGCAUCCGGAACUGUCAGGCUAGAGUGCAGGAGAGGAAGGUAGAAUUCCCGGUGUAGCGGUGAAAUGCGUAGAGUUCGGGAGGAAUACCAGUGGCGAAGGCGGCCUUCUGGACUGACACUGACGCUGAGGUGCGAAAGCGUGGGUAGCAAACAGGAUUAGAUACCCCUGUAGUC